UUGUUUAACGGGCAAACUUCGAGAAAUCGAAGGACGCAAAGCCAUGGGCCUACGGCAAUCGCUACGGCUGCCAGGUUGCACAC
rnacentral:ncRNA from 1 species